UAGGGAAUCUUCCACAAUGGACGCAAGUCUGAUGGAGCAACGCCGCGUGAGUGAAGAAGGUUUUCGGAUCGUAAAGCUCUGUUGUUGGUGAAGAAGGAUAGAGGCAGUAACUGGUCUUUAUUUGACGGUAAUCAACCAGAAAGUCACGGCUAACUACGUGCCAGCAGCCGCGGUAAUACGUAGGUGGCAAGCGUUGUCCGGAUUUAUUGGGCGUAAAGCGAGCGCAGGCGGAAUGAUAAGUCUGAUGGGAAAGCCCACGGCUCAACCGUGGAACUGCAUCGGAAACUGUCAUUCUUGAGUGCAUAAGAGGGGAGUGGAAUUCCAUGUGUAGCGGUGGAAUGCGUAGAUAUAUGGAAGAACACCAGUGGCGAAGGCGGCUCUCUGGUCUGCAACUGACGCUGAGGCUCGAAAGCAUGGGUAGCGAACAGG
rnacentral:rRNA from 1 species